CGAGGGCUGCGGAAGCCACUUCCGCGCAGAGGUUGGGAGUCCCAGCGUGCGUAGGGAACCCCUCCUCCGCCGCCAGCAGCCCGGCACCCUUCGCCCUGGGCAGAGCUAGCACUUUGCAGACGCUCCCUAGACAGUUUCUAGGCUCCCCUAAGUCCCUCCUCCAGACUCCUCCGGUUCCUCGUACCCUAACCUAGAACAGCCCGGAGCAGCACCGAGGAAGGGGUGUCCUCUGACCCUUUCCCCAGGGUUGAGCCUGUGGGAGGUUCACUGUCGUAAAGUAGCUCCCGUUACCCGGAACCCAGCUAGGAGGCCCUGUGCUAGAAGUGGAAAAGAGGUAAAAGUCCCAAACCAAAAGGAUGUCAAGGAGCUCUCACGGGAAGGGAUGGGGGCGGGGCUAAAUAAACAAGAACAGUGACUGGAUGAGGCCGGACGCCUGACCCCGUGAGUUCAGGGAGAGGGCCGCUGAGCUCAGGACUCGGGGGUCAGUGAGUGUGCCCAGAGUGCAUGGUUCUCAGAAGCUGUGGAAUGAGCUGGGGACCCAGAAGGAUGGGAAGGCAGAGCGUCUGAAGACUUAAGUGUAGGAUUUGGAAUGGGCGCUGAGAAGGUAAACUUGGCUUAGGUGCACCCUGGCGGGGAAUGGCGUACGGCAGCUCACAACAGCCCGGGACUCCAGCUCCAGGGGACUCGGCACUCGUCUAACCUCCAGAAGCAUCCUGACGCUCGCGGCAUACACUAACACCCAUAUGUAUGCAUUGUGGCACACACCUUACCAUGUCAACUCUGGAAGCAGAAGCAGGCGGAUGCUACACAUUCGAGGCAAGCGAGCUUGGUCCUAGUAGCAAGUUCCAGGCCAGCAAAAUCCACACAGUGAGACUCUACCUCAAAAUAAUAAUCAUAAUAGUGAAAAUAAAUCUUGGGGCCAGUGAGAUGGCUCAGUCGGUAAAGGUACCAGCCACCACUCCAGAGGACAGAACCAAGUCCUUGGGCCCCACCCAUUUGGACUCCCUGACUCCACACAUGUAUUGUGGCACAUUGGUGCUCACACAAAGAAAUAUAGUGAUAUUUAAAACA